CGGGCGGGUGAGUAACGCGUGGAUAACCUACCUAUAAGACUGGGAUAACUUCGGGAAACCGGAGCUAAUACCGGAUAAUAUUUUGAACCGCAUGGUUCAAAAGUGAAAGACGGUCUUGCUGUCACUUAUAGAUGGAUCCGCGCUGCAUUAGCUAGUUGGUAAGGUAACGGCUUACCAAGGCAACGAUGCAUAGCCGACCUGAGAGGGUGAUCGGCCACACUGGAACUGAGACACGGUCAAG
rnacentral:rRNA from 1 species